UGCUCCAAAAUCGCCCUCUCAUUCUGCAGAUAAAGAAUUUUCAGAAAGAACUGCCAAAUUAGGCAUCGCAAUUACAUCAAUUCUGCAGAUAAAGAAUUUUCAGAAAGAACUGCCAAAUUAGGCAUCAGAAUUACAUCUAAGGACCUGGAAUGCUAAGUAACUCCUAUAACCUAUAUUAUCAGGAAAAAGGUAUGCAAGCAAACUGGACACACAAAGGUGGAGAUUACCACCUGAAUAUGCUCAAGCAAGUCAAAUUCCUUUAAAUUGGAUAAAACUAUGCUAGAUAUCCUUAAAAGGAAAUUUCGAGUAUUUUAGACACUCAAGAGUAUCAUCUCCACUUUCCCUUUUGCAAAGCACCACUUGCAAAACAAUGGACUUCUCUGUAAGCCUCUUUUCUUUUCAUAUCCAACAGACAGACAACAAG
rnacentral:lncRNA from 1 species